AGCGGGGUAGAGGAAUUGGUCAACUCAUCAGGCUCAUGACCUGAAAAUUGCAGGUUCGAAUCAUGUCCCCGCCU
rfam:Capsicum annuum cultivar Zunla-1 chromosome 3, whole genome shotgun sequence